UGCGGCUGCGGACAGGGUGAUUGGGUUCCUAAUCAAUCACGUAAUUAAGCGCAAGUGAGUGAGACGGGUGAGUGGGGGUGGGGAGUGCGAUGCUUGUACGCUUUUUCGCAGCAGCGACAAAUCCAGCGCUUGGAUUCCUUUUCGGUAAAGAUCUCGCCUUGAUGUGUCGGUGAUGGCGCUGUUUCUUGCCUUUGCCGAUGCCAUAUUGAUUCGGCACUCCUUGCAAAAACUCUCGGCCGUUUUGUUUUUUUCCAUGUGACGAUGAAGCCCCUCUUGUUCUUUUUUUCACUCUCGGUCGUUUUGUUUUUUUCCAUGUGACGAUGAAGCCACUUCGCUCUUGUUCUGUUUUCACCACACCACUGCCUCAUUUUCAAUUUAUAUUGUGUCUAUAUAUAUAGACAUAUAUAUAUAUGUCUAUAUAUAUAUAU
rnacentral:lncRNA from 1 species